AACUUUCAGCAAUGGAUCUCUUGGCUCUCGCAUCGAUGAAGAACGCAGCGAAACGCGAUAUGUAAUGUGAAUUGCAGAUCUACAGUGAAUCAUCGAAUCUUUGAACGCA
rnacentral:rRNA from 2 species